rnacentral:lncRNA from 1 species
AAGAAGAGGAACAGGGCCAGUGGGAGAGAUAGAGACCAUAUGGGUCAGGAGAGGAACAGGGCCAGUGGGAGAGAUAGAGACCAUAGGGGGCAGGAGAGGAACAGGGCCAGUGGGAGAGAUAGAGACCAUAUGGGUCAGGAGAGGAACAGGGCCAGUGGAAGAGAUAGAGACCAUAUGGGGCAGGAGAGGAACAGGGCCAGUGGGAGAGAUAGAGACCAUAGGGGGCAGGAGAGGAACAGGGCCAGUGGGAGAGAUAGAGACCAUAUGGGGCAGGAGAGGAACAGGGCCAGUGUGAGAGAUAGAGACCAUAUGGGGCAGGAGAAGAACAGGGCCAGUGGGAGAGAUAGAGACCAUAUGGGGCAGGAGAGGAACAGGGCCAGUGGGAGAGAUAGAGACCAUAUGGGGAAGGAGAGGAACAGGGCCAGUGGGAGAGAUAGAGACCAUAUGGGGCAGGAGGAGAACAGGGCCAGUGGGAGAGAUAGAGACCAUAGGUUGCAGGAGAGGAACAGGGCCAGUGGGAGAGAUAGAGAGCAUAGGUUGCAGGAGAGGAACAGGGCCAGUGGGAGAGAUAGAGACCAUAGGUUGCAGGAGAGGAACAGGGCCAGUGGGAGAGAUAGAGACCAUAGGUUGCAGGAGAGGAACACUGGCCGUGUGAGAGAUAGAGACCAUAUGGGGAAGGAGAGGAACAGGGCCAGUGGGAGAGAUAGAGACCAUAUGGGUCAGGAGAAGAACAGGGCCAGUGUGAGAGAUAGAGACCAUAAGGGGCAGGAGAGGAACAGGGCCAGUGGGAGAGAUAGAGACCAUAUGGGUCAGGAGAAGAACAGAGAGCCAGAAAGAAUGUUGAUAAAAGGGUGACCGUUCAAUGACACUCAUGACAGUUGAACAGCAGUGGCAUUCCAUUCUAGCAAGUGCCAUCUGUACUGCUGCUGCGCAUCCAAACACAUCUAUGAUGAUGAGGCAAAAUCAAGCCUGAUGGUCAAUACCAAGGCCUAUGUGUUUUACUACCAGGACACACAGUGGCUACUGGCAACAAAAAAAGAGCCAUCUGUCGCAGUGUGUUCCCGCUCAGUGUUCCAAUGUGCACCCCGCCUGUGUUCUCAUAAUAAAGGCAUUAGUGCCCUCUGUCUAUAUCCUGCUACCUCCCUCAGCCCCCCUCUCUAAAUGGGCAGCGUAUCUCUCUGAGCUACAACUCUGUUUCAUGUAGAAAUGAUUCAUUAGCCAUUCCUUUGUUGGAAUAAUAAAAUAUGCCUUAUUUUUUUUCUCUAUAUAGAAAAGUGGAAGACCUGAGGAUGGGAGGGGAUUAAAAUAGGAAAUUUAGCCCAGAGGGAUGAAGUGAUAGAGAGAAUGACAGGAAGGCAGGGAAAGUAGGGUACAAAAAUGUCUCCUUGCGCCCUACUGAAGCACUUAUCCUGCCCUUUUUGUCCCUGGCAAAAUCAAACAGGUGGUUUGCGCCUGACUUGCAAGCUGCUGUGGCCAUAGGUGGGCUGGCCCAAAGGCUCUGGGGACGAAAGGACUUCAGGCCAGCUGUAGGCCCACAAAGAUUGAAAGAGUAAUGGCUUGAUUAUCAUGUGAAAUCUGGGAACUACAGUCCCUUCAGAAAGUAUUCACACCCUUUGGGUUUUGCCACAUUUUGUUUUGUAACAGCCUGAAUUUAAAAUGGUUUAAAUUGAUGUUUUGUCACUGGCCUACACACAAUACAC